rnacentral:pre_miRNA from 1 species
AAACCUAGAAAAGCGACGGAUAGAGUACUUUAGUCCGUCACUUUUCUGGAUUUUU